CCUAUCUCUGCAUCUCCUUCUCUUUCUCGCCCUCUGAUGAACGUUUCUCUCUCAACCAUUGCGACGAGUGCUCCCUUCACACUACUAAACUCAACAACUCCUCCGAACUCUGCGUCUCCUUCGCUUUACUAUCAAAGCUUGAAGCAUUUGAUAACUGAAAGACACCUGAAAACCUAUAAAUAGAAGAGGGUUGAGACUGGAAUCUAGCAUCUCAUACACGGUCUUUGAGAUUCUCUUUCGUCAAACCUUCGAUCACUUUCCUCCGCUGCAAUUGCUACUCAAUCUGCUGCUCCACACACCGGCCACCAAAUUUUACUUUUAGCUGAGCAUUGCUGCCAUCAAAGCUUUCAAAACCAGGUACGCUUUAAGUAAUAGUUUAUAUCAAAUGCUUCCUUGCUAAAUUCUGUAUUUAACUCUAAGUCUGUCCAUCUUGUGAAUUGUAUUAAACAUAUGGAAACGACAAUCACCGGAGGGAUACAUACGGUAUACGGGUUUUGGUAACCAUUUCUUGAGAGGUGUCGGCAACUGAGCUUUUCCCAUGUGUAGAGACAAUGGUAGAGAUUCAAAAGAAAGAAUUUGUGACAAAUGGAGCCAUACCUCUCCAAGUAAACCGCAGAUCCAGUGAGCUGACUUCCUGAGCAGAGCUCGGAUCGUCAGUGUGCUGCAGAAAAAUGGAUAGCCUUAUCUUUCUUGCACCGGCUGCAGCAGAAAGUUGGACAAAUCACAGACUUCGCUCCGGUUCAACAAAUGUGUGUCACCAAACCUGUGUUAUCAGUUUCUGAUAAGUCAUAUUUAGUCUCAGCUAUAACAAUAUCCACCUUUGACUAAAAAAUCCAACUUAGCGCUACAGUGAUAUGUUUGUCGUGUUUUACACAAAAAUGACGUAAAUCACCUAGAUAGAAGCAGCCUCACGGGCUCUUGAGAGAUUCGAGUGACACCCUACAAUUUCACUCCCAACCACCUCACCUUCACGGUGUCUGUAAUUACUGAAGACGUGGCUGUGAAGACUCAUUCAAGGGUGAAAGCAUCAACAAGUCCUACAAACGGCAUGCCAGAGUGACAACCAUCCACCUGAUUCUGGCAUCCAACUGUGAGUGAAUCUUAGAAGUGUAUCAAGCCAUCAUUCUUACCAAGUUUUCUUCUCAUUCGUUACAAACUCUAUCCAAUAAGUUUUUCCCUUUGUUUCAGUUUCUCAUGUUUAUUUUUUUUUAAAUUCUGCAACAAGUUCCUGCUGAAGAAAAUAAAAGUUUCUACUGGGAGCAGUGUUAUUUUCAUUUUAGUGAAGGGAAGCUUGAAAGCUAUUUACAUAUUUACAAACAAUUGUCUGUUAUCUAUAUACUUUAUUUUACAUAGAUUUUAUACUA